CCUACGGGUGGCAACAGUGGGGAAUAUUGCACAAUGGGGGAAACCCUGAUGCAGCGAUGCCGCGUGGAGGAAGAAGGUUUUCGGAUUGUAAACUCCUUUUAUCAGGGACGCUAAUGACGGUACCUGAAGCAAAAGCUCCGGCUAACUACGUGCCAGCAGCCGCGGUAAUACGUAGGGAGCGAGCGGUGUCCGGAAUUAAUGGGUGUAAAGGGAGAGUAGGCGGGACGGCAAGGCAGAUGUGAAAACUGAGGGCUCAACUUUCAGACUGCAGUUGAAACUGCUAUUCUUGAGUGAAGUAGAGGUACGCGGAAUUCGUAGGGUAGCGGUGAAAUGCGUAGAUAUUAGGAGGAACUUCGGUGGCGAAGGCGGCUUACUGGGCCUUGACUGACGCUGAGGCUCGAAAGCGUGGGGAGCAAACAGGAUUAGAUACCCGGGUAGUC
rnacentral:rRNA from 1 species